GCCCGGGUGGCGGAACUGGUAGACGCAAGGGACUUAAAAUCCCUCGAAGUUUACUUCGUGCGAGUUCGAUUCUCGCCCCGGGCACCA
rnacentral:tRNA from 1 species